GCACUUGUACCUGCAGCCUGGCCCGGCCCCCAGCUCCCCGGCGGCCCCUGUCCUGCCCGGCUCGGCCCUGCUCUCGGGGGUGGCCCUCAAGGGCCAGUAUGUGGAGUUCUCGGCCCUGCAGGCGGCCGAGCUGGCCAAGCUGCCGGCCACGGGGCUGCUCUACCAGGCGGCCCCCCCCUUCCUCUACAGCCCCCCCUUCUGUGCCGGCCAGCUGGGCCCCGAGCAGCCCCUACUCCAGGUAUGUGGUGGAGGGGAGAGGAGGGGGCGGGGCUCCCUGCGCCUGGCUCCGCCCCCUGAUCACCAGUUCCUCCCCUCCAGGUGCGGCAGGAGCUGAACCCCCCCUCGGAUUUCUACCCAGGCUCCCUGGCGCAGGCCAAUCAGAGCAACUUCCUGCAGGCCCCGGGCCCCGCCCAGCAGCUGCACCCCGUGGAGCUGAAGCCCUUCCCCGAGUACCGGAAGCUGAGCAGCCUGGGGGGGUCGAGCCCCAUCAGUGGGCAGAGCCUGCGUUGGCCCCUUCAGCUCCCGCCUCCGGGCCCCAGGAUCCAGCUACGCAGGGGGCAGCCGCAGCCAGCGCCCAGAUGGGGGCCCGCUGGUCUCCCCAUCGGACGUUCUCUGCUGGACCCCCAGGCCCUGGGAGCGCCACCCCCUAGCCCGUGAGGGGCCCCCCACCCACCGGCCCCCCAGCCAGAGUGACAAGCAGGAUCCUGGCCUCAGCCAUCAGCGCUAGCCUGGCCUGCCACCAGACUGGGCCAGGGGGUGGCCCCUGUUCCCCCCUCCCUCUCAAUGAGUGGGGAGGGGCUGAUCCCUUCCCUCUCUUAAUUUCUGGGGGGGGUGUCACUGUGGAGCUGCCCCACUGAAUGUAACUGGAGUUGGGUUUGUUUUUGAUUCACAUGAAUUAAUGGGGGGUCCCCUGCCCAGCUGCGUGUAAAUAUGUGUAGGGCAGGGGCCUCUCUCCCCUCCCCCCGCUGGGGGGGCAGCAGGUUUGUUACAAAAUAAACUGAAAAACUGUUUAAAAAAAUGAAUAAAAGGUUAAAACACAAAAGGGGGGGCCCUGGUGUGGG
rnacentral:lncRNA from 1 species